GCCCAUCACUUCCUCUUUCCCUCCCUUGACACUGGAGGUCCAGAGCCCUCCGUUUUCUCAACAAGAGCAGCAAUGGCAACACGUGUGAGAACUUGCUGGCAGCCGUACCUAGAGCGGACCUGCCCUUCUAUCCACACUUUCCACCCUGAUCACUUCAUACAGGGUUUAUUGAGCACUUGCAAGGAAGAGCCCCACUCUAGGCAUCCGGUAACAACCUGGCAAACAAAGCCUUCUGUCCCCUUAUGGAUUCUACACUCUGGAGUCUUAGUUCAGAACCUGGCUGUGCUGCUUACGAGCUGUGUGACCUUGGGUGAGUUGCUUUAUCUCUCUGAACUUCUACCUCUACAUCAAUAAAAUGAAAACAUGGAAAAGAGGAUUGCAAUGAUUAAGAGUAAAACACGUGGGAGGGGACUCGCCCAGUUCCUGACACAGUGCUAUGUGCUAUGCAAGAGAUAGCUACAAUUAUUCCUAAAAAUGUAACCUUCCCUGGGAGAAGUCUCUGCAUCCUUAUACCUACAAUCUGAACAUGAAGUUUUGGCUGAGAAUUCUCCAAUUUUCUCCAAAUUAUGUAUAACCAACCUACUUUCUCCAAAGUUGUUUAGUUGUAGAACAGAAACCAAAAUAUGUAUACACUACACAUGCAUGUUUAUAUUUAAAUUUGUAUUUAAAUUUAAAUCUGUAUUUAGAUUUA